UAUGGACCAACAUCUUUGAGGAAUGUUUCCAACCCCUUGUUGAAUCGAUGCUACAAAGAAGAAUUAAGACAGUUCUGAAGGGAAAAGUGGGUCCAACCCGGUACUAGGAAGGUGUACCUAAUAAAGUGGUUGGUGAGCGUAAGGUAUUAAUG